rnacentral:tRNA from 1 species
AUUACUUUGGCAGAAAAAUGCAUUAAGUUUAGGACUUAAAAAUAUAGUUUAAUUCUAUAGGUAAUA